rnacentral:rRNA from 1 species
CAGCAGCCACGGGAAUACGUAGGGGGCAAGCGUUGUCCGGAAUUAUUGGGCGUAAAGCGCGCGCAGGCGGUUCUUUAAGUCUGGUGUAUAAGUGCGGGGCUCAACCCCGUGAGGCACUGGAAACUGGGGAACUUGAGUGCAGAAGAGGAGAGCGGAAUUCCACGUGUAGCGGUGAAAUGCGUAGAGAUGUGGAGGAACACCAGUGGCGAAGGCGACUCUCUGGUCUGUAACUGACGCUGAGGAGCGAAAGCGCGGGGAGCGAACAGGAUUAGAUACCCCGGUAGUCCCUGUCUCUUAUACA